ensembl:lncRNA
AUGCACUGUGUUUGUUUACUGUGUUUGUUUACUGUGUUUGUUUACUGUGUUUAUGCACUGUGUUUGUUUACUGUGUUUAUGCACUGUGUUUGUUUACUGUGUUUAUGCACUGUGUAUGUUUACUGUGUUUAUGCACUGUGUUUAUGCACUGUGUUUGUUUAUUGUGUUUAUGCACUGUGUUUAUGCACUGUGUAUGUUUACUGUGUUUAUGCACUGUGUUUAUGCACUGUGUUUGUUUACUGUGUUUGUUUACUGUGUUUGUUUACUGUGUUUGUUUACUGUGUUUAUGCACUGUGUUUAUGCACUGUGUAUGUUUACUGUGUUUAUGCACUGUGUUUGUUUACUGUGUUUAUGCACUGUGUAUGUUUACUGUGUUUAUGCACUGUGUUUGUUUACUGUGUUUAUGCACUGUGUAUGUUUACUGUGUUUAUGCACUGUGUUUGUUUACUGUGUUUGUUUACUGUGUUUGUUUACUGUGUUUAUGCACUGUGUUUAUGCACUGUGUAUGUUUACUGUGUUUAUGCACUGUGUUUGUUUACUGUGUUUAUGCACUGUGUAUGUUUACUGUGUUUAUGCACUGUGUUUGUUUACUGUGUUUAUGCACUGUGUAUGUUUACUGUGUUUAUGCACUGUGUUUGUUUACUGUGUUUAUGCACUGUGUAUGUUUACUGUGUUUAUGCACUGUGUUUGUUUACUGUGUUUAUGCACUGUGUAUGUUUACUGUGUUUAUGCACUGUGUUUAUGCACUGUGUUUGUUUACUGUGUUUAUGCACUGUGUUUAUGCACUGUGUAUGUUUACUGUGUUUAUGCACUGUGUUUGUUUACUGUGUUUAUGCACUGUGUAUGUUUACUGUGUUUAUGCACUGUGUUUGUUUACUGUGUUUAUGCACUGUGUUUGUUUACUGUGUUUAUGCACUGUGUAUGUUUACUGUGUUUAUGCACUGUGUUUAUGCACUGUGUUUGUUUAUUGUGUUUAUGCACUGUGUUUAUGCACUGUGUAUGUUUACUGUGUUUAUGCACUGUGUUUAUGCACUGUGUUUGUUUACGGUGUUUGUUUACUGUGUUUGUUUACUGUGUUUGUUUACUGUGUUUAUGCACUGUGUUUAUGCACUGUGUAUGUUUACUGUGUUUAUGCACUGUGUUUGUUUACUGUGUUUAUGCACUGUGUAUGUUUACUGUGUUUAUGCACUGUGUUUGUUUACUGUGUUUAUGCACUGUGUAUGUUUACUGUGUUUAUGCACUGUGUUUAUGCACUGUGUUUGUUUACUGUGUUUAUGCACUGUGUUUAUGCACUGUGUAUGUUUACUGUGUUUAUGCACUGUGUUUGUUUACUGUGUUUAUGCACUGUGUAUGUUUACUGUGUUUAUGCACUGUGUUUGUUUACUGUGUUUAUGCACUGUGUUUGUUUACUGUGUUUAUGCACUGUGUAUGUUUACUGUGUUUAUGCACUGUGUUUAUGCACUGUGUUUGUUUAUUGUGUUUAUGCACUGUGUUUAUGCACUGUGUAUGUUUACUGUGUUUAUGCACUGUGUUUAUGCACUGUGUUUGUUUACUGUGUUUGUUUACUGUGUUUGUUUACUGUGUUUAUGCACUGUGUUUAUGCACUGUGUAUGUUUACUGUGUUUAUGCACUGUGUUUGUUUACUGUGUUUAUGCACUGUGUAUGUUUACUGUGUUUAUGCACUGUGUUUGUUUACUGUGUUUAUGCACUGUGUAUGUUUACUGUGUUUAUGCACUGUGUUUAUGCACUGUGUUUGUUUGUUUACUGUGUUUAUGCACUGUGUUUAUGCACUGUGUAUGUUUACUGUGUUUAUGCACUGUGUUUGUUUACUGUGUUUAUGCACUGUGUAUGUUUACUGUGUUUAUGCACUGUGUUUGUUUACUGUGUUUAUGCACUGUGUUUGUUUACUGUGUUUAUGCACUGUGUAUGUUUACUGUGUUUAUGCACUGUGUUUAUGCACUGUGUUUGUUUAUUGUGUUUAUGCACUGUGUUUAUGCACUGUGUAUGUUUACUGUGUUUAUGCACUGUGUUUAUGCACUGUGUUUGUUUACUGUGUUUGUUUACUGUGUUUGUUUACUGUGUUUGUUUACUGUGUUUAUGCACUGUGUUUAUGCACUGUGUAUGUUUACUGUGUUUAUGCACUGUGUUUAUGCACUGUGUUUGUUUACUGUGUUUGUUUACUGUGUUUGUUUACUGUGUUUAUGCACUGUGUAUGUUUACUGUGUUUGUUUACUGUGUUUGUUUACUGUGUUUAUGCACUGUGUAUGUUUACUGUGUUUGUUUACUGUGUUUAUGCACUGUGUAUGUUUACUGUGUUUGUUUACUGUGUUUGUUUACUGUGUUUAUUUACUGUGUUUAUGCACUGUGUAUGUUUACUGUGUUUGUUUACUGUGUUUGUUUACUGUGUUUGUUUACUGUGUUUAUGCACUGUGUAUGUUUACUGUGUUUGUUUACUGUGUUUAUGCACUGUGUUUAUGCACUGUGUUUAUGCACUGUGUAUGUUUACUGUGUUUAUGCACUGUGUUUAUGCACUGUGUUUGUUUACUGUGUUUGUUUACUGUGUUUGUUUACUGUGUUUAUGCACUGUGUAUGUUUACUGUGUUUGUUUACUGUGUUUGUUUACUGUGUUUAUGCACUGUGUAUGUUUACUGUGUUUGUUUACUGUGUUUAUGCACUGUGUAUGUUUACUGUGUUUGUUUACUGUGUUUGUUUACUGUGUUUAUUUACUGUGUUUAUGCACUGUGUUUGUUUACUGUGUUUGUUUACUGUGUUUGUUUACUGUGUUUGUUUACUGUGUUUAUGCACUGUGUAUGUUUACUGUGUUUGUUUACUGUGUUUGUUUACUGUGUUUAUGCACUGUGUAUGUUUACUGUGUUUGUUUACUGUGUUUAUGCACUGUGUAUGUUUACUGUGUUUGUUUACUGUGUUUGUUUACUGUGUUUAUUUACUGUGUUUAUGCACUGUGUAUGUUUACUGUGUUUGUUUACUGUGUUUAUGCACUGUGUAUGUUUACUGUGUUUGUUUACUGUGUUUAUGCACUGUGUUUGUUUAUUGUGUUUAUGCACUGUGUUUAUACACUGUGUAUGUUUACUGUGUAUGUUUACUGUGUUUAUGCACUGUGUUUGUUUACUGUGUUUAUGCACUGUGUAUGUUUACUGUGUUUAUGCACUGUGUAUGUUUACUGUGUUUGUUUACUGUGUUUAUGCACUGUGUUUAUGCACUGUGUAUGUUUACUGUGUUUGUUUACUGUGUUUAUGCACUGUGUUUAUGCACUGUGUUUAUGCACUGUGUUUGUUUACUGUGUUUAUGCACUGUGUUUAUGCACUGUGUUCAUGCACUGUGUUUAUGCACUGUGUUUGUUUACUGUGUAUGUUUACUGUGUUUAUGCACUGUGUUUGUUUACUGUGUUUAUGCACUGUGUAUGUUUACUGUGUUUGUUUACUGUGUUUAUGCACUGUGUUUAUGCACUGUGUAUGUUUACUGUGUUUGUUUACUGUGUUUAUGCACUGUGUUUGUUUACUGUGUUUAUGCACUGUGUAUGUUUACUGUGUUUAUGCACUGUGUUUAUGCACUGUGUUUAUGCACUGUGUUUGUUUACUGUGUUUGUUUACUGUGUAUGUUUACUGUGUUUAUGCACUGUGUUUGUUUACUGUGUUUAUGCACUGUGUAUGUUUACUGUGUUUGUUUACUGUGUUUAUGCACUGUGUUUAUGCACUGUGUAUGUUUACUGUGUUUGUUUACUGUGUUUAUGCACUGUGUUUGUUUACUGUGUUUAUGCACUGUGUAUGUUUACUGUGUUUAUGCACUGUGUUUGUUUACUGUGUUUAUGCACUGUGUAUGUUUACUAUGUUUGUUUACUGUGUUUAUGCACUGUGUUUGUUUAUUGUGUUUAUGCACUGUGUUUAUGCACUGUGUAUGUUUACUGUGUUUAUGCACUGUGUUUGUUUACUGUGUUUAUGCACUGUGUAUGUUUACUGUGUUUGUUUACUGUGUUUGUUUACUGUGUUUAUGCACUGUGUAUGUUUACUGUGUUUGAUUACUGUGUUUAUGCACUGUGUUUGUUUAUUGUGUUUAUGCACUGUGUUUAUACACUGUGUAUGUUUACUGUGUUUGUUUACUGUGUUUAUGCACUGUGUUUGUUUACUGUGUUUAUGCACUGUGUAUGUUUACUGUGUUUAUGCACUGUGUAUGUUUACGGUGUUUGUUUACUGUGUUUAUGCACUGUGUUUAUGCACUGUGUAUGUUUACUGUGUUUGUUUACUGUGUUUGUUUACUGUGUUUAUGCACUGUGUUUAUGCACUGUGUUUGUUUAUUGUGUUUAUGCACUGUGUUUAUGCACUGUGUAUGUUUACUGUGUUUGUUUACUGUGUUUAUGCACUGUGUUUAUGCACUGUGUAUGUUUACUGUGUUUGUUUACUGUGUAUGUUUACUGUGUUUAUGCACUGUGUAUGUUUACUGUGUUUGUUUACUGUGUAUGUUUACUGUGUUUAUUCACUGUGUUUAUGCACUGUGUAUGUUUACUGUGUUUGUUCACUGUGUUCGUUUACUGUGUUUAUGCACUGUGUAUGUUUACUGUGUUUGUUUACUGUGUUUAUGCACUGUGUUUAUGCACUGUGUUUGUUUACUGUGUUUGUUUACUGUGUUUGUUUACUGUGUUUAUGCACUGUGUUUGUUUACUGUGUUUAUGCACUGUGUUUGUUUACUGUGUUUAUGCACUGUGUUUGUUUACUGUGUUUGUUUACUGUGUUUGUUUACUGCGUUUAUGCACUGUGUUUGUUUACUGUGUUUAUGCACUGUGUAUGUUUACUGUGUUUAUGCACUGUGUUUAUGCACUGUGUUUGUUUACUGUGUUUAUGCACUGUGUAUGUUUACUGUGUUUGUUUACUGUGUUUAUGCACUGUGUUUAUGCACUGUGUAUGUUUACUGUGUUUAUGCACUGUGUUUAUGCACUGUGUUUAUGCACUGUGUUUAUGCACUGCGUUUGUUUACUGCGUUUGUUUACUGCGUUUGUUUACUUGCGUAUGUUUACUGUGUUUAUGCACUGUGUUUGUUUACUGUUUGUUUACAAAAGUCAAUGAUAAUGUUGAUACUUGA